UAGCUAGUUGGUGAGGUAACGGCUUACCGAGGCGACGAUCUGUAGCGGGUCUGAGAGGAUGAUCCGCCACACUGGGACUGAGACACGGUCCAGACUCCUACGGGAGGCAGCAGUGGGGAAUUUUGGACAAUGGGGGCAACCCUGAUCCAGCCAUGCCGCGUGAGUGAAGAAGGCCUUCGGGUUGUAAAGCUCUUUCGGCCGGGAAGAAAUCGCAUGGGCCAAUACCCUGUGUGGAUGACGGUACCGGAAUAAGAAGCACCGGCUAACUACGUGCCAGCAGCCGCGGUAAUACGUAGGGUGCGAGCGUUAAUCGGAAUUACUGCGCGUAAAGCGUGCGCAGGCGGUUUUGUAAGACAGGCGUGAAAUCCCCGGGCUCAACCUGGGAACUGCGUUUGUGACUGCAAGGCUAGAGUACGGCAGAGGGGGGUGGAAUUCCACGUGUAGCAGUGAAAUGCGUAGAGAUGUGGAGGAACACCAAUGGCGAAGGCAGCCCCCUGGGUCGAUACUGACGCUCAUGCACGAAAGCGUGGGUAGCAAACAGGAUUAGAUACCCUGGUAGUCCACGCCCUAAACUAUGUCAACUAGGUGUUGGGUGGGUAAAACCAUUUAGUACCGUAGCUAACGCGUGAAGUUGACCGCCUGGGGAGUACGGCCGCAAGGUUAAAACUCAAAGGAAUUGACGGGGACCCGCACAAGCGGUGGAUGAUGUGGAUUAAUUCGAUGCAACGCGAAAAACCUUACCUACCCUUGACAUGCCAGGAACUUGCCAGAGAUGGCUUGGUGCCCGAAAGGGAGCCUGGACACAGGUGCUGCAUGGCUGUCGUCAGCUCGUGUCGUGAGAUGUUGGGUUAAGUCCCGCAACGAGCGCAACCCUUGUCGUUAAUUGCCAUCAUUUAGUUGGGCACUUUAGCGAGACUGCCGGUGACAAACCGGAGGAAGGUGGGGAUGACGUCAAGUCCUCAUGGCCCUUAUGGGUAGGGCUUCACACGUCAUACAAUGGUCGGUACAAAGGGUCGCCAAGCCGCGAGGUGGAGCCAAUCCCAGAAAGCCGAUCGUAGUCCGGAUUGCAGGCUGCAACUCGCCUGCAUGAAGUCGGAAUCGCUAGUAAUCGUGGAUCAGCAUGUCACGGUGAAUACGUUCCCGGGUCUUGUACACACCGCCCGUCACACCAUGGGAGCGGGUUCCGCCAGAAGUAGGUAGCCUAACCGCAAGGAGGGCGCUUACCACGGCGGGGUUCGUGACUGGGGUGAAGUCGUAACAAGGUAGCCGUAGGGGAACCUGCGGCUG
rnacentral:rRNA from 1 species